GUUUAUAUUAAUAAGUGCAAAUCAUGAUAAAAGGGGGUCCUUAAGUAAUCGCUGUGGGCACAUCGUCCCUUACUUGGUAGGACCAUAUUUUUAAUAGCUUCACUUACAGGUGAAAGGCUUUGUUCAAAUGAAAAUUGUUAAUGAUUUUCUUUUGUCUAAUCUUAGAGGCUAAUCAAUGUAUUAUCAUCAGGGAAUCUUUUGUCAUGUUUUUCCAAUGUGAAAGUGACAACAUGCGAUGGAACCCCACAGAAACAAAAGAAGGGUGACUUUGUCAAAGCAAUUGUGCGGCCAAAUUGGAUAGUCUUGGCGUGAUAAUGUCCUAUGG
rnacentral:misc_RNA from 1 species